UACGUAGGUGGCAAGCGUUGUCCGGAUUUACUGGGCGUAAAGAGCGCGCAGGCGGUCGAGUAAGUCGAAUGUGAAAGCCCCCGGCUCAACUGGGGAGGGUCAUUCGAUACUGUUCGACUCGAAGGCAGGAGAGGGAAGUGGAAUUCCCGGUGUAGUGGUGAAAUGCGUAGAUAUCGGGAGGAACACCAGUGGCGAAGGCGACUUCCUGGCCUGUUCUUGACGCUGAGGCGCGAAAGCUAGGGGGAGCAAACGGG
rnacentral:rRNA from 1 species